GCCUAGGUGGCUCAGUCAGUUGAGUGUCCGACUUCGGCUCAGGUCAUGAUCUCAUAGUUCGUGGGUUCGAGCCCCACAUUGGGCU
rfam:Felis catus isolate Cinnamon breed Abyssinian chromosome F1, whole genome shotgun sequence.